AGGACCUAUGUGCCAGGGACCCCAUCCAUAAGGGGACUGCAAGAAUCACUCCUAUCUAUACAACAAUGGUACUUUGCUCUGCACAACUUCAUGAGGGUCCCACCAGUUGAGGAAAGUCAACUAUGGUACAGUAGAAAGAGUCCUGGACUGGGAAGUCUGGGGACCCAAGUUCUAGUCCUGAUCCUGAUACAAACUAACUGAUACAAACUAACCUCAGACAAGUCACUCUGGUCCCCAGGUACCUCCGCCAUAAAAUGAAGGUCCUGGAAUAGACAAUUUCCCAGGGCAGCCAACUCCAUCAUCUCCUAACCCACUGCAGGACUCCAUCAUGCCCCUGGGCUGGGUACUACCUCCUCCCCCUUCAGCUUAUCUUCACAGGGUAGCUUCCUCCAUUAGUCUUCAGGGAGGUUUUACAGUCAAUAGAACGCUGGACCUGAAGUCUAGAAGAAUUGUCUUCCUGAGUUCAGAUGCUUACUAGCUGUGUGACCCUGGGCAAUGAUACCAGGCCACCCACGUCGAAGCCUUCCAGCCUCUCAGUUUGCUACAGAGGAUGAGAGUCCCAGAAUGCCAAGAAUGGGAUGGGGACCUUCACGAUCGCCUAGUCCACUCCCUUCAUUGAACAGCUGGAGAACGAGCACCAGAGAGAUGAUGUUAUAUGCUAAAGAUCCCACAGUCAAUGGGCAUAGAGUUAGGACUAGAACCCAUUUUCUUAAAGAAUCCUAAUCUGCAAGUCUUGCCAUACCAUGCAAACUUUCCAGUCCUUGACUUGGCGAUGACUCAUGGGAGCCAUUUCAUGUCAUUUCCACUACCUACUUGCUACGUUCAAUCUUCCAGCUCUUACCUCCUGUCUGUUGCUCUGGGCAUCCAAGACCAAGUUUUACUACUCAUUUCUAAGAAGCAGGACUUCUUGAGGUGCUCUUCUGAGGUGAGAAGGUCCCCCGUGUCUGAAAUGCAGCCCAUUCUCUCCUCCUUCUAGAAGAUUCUCUAGCUUGCUUUAAUGCAUAGCUCAGUUGCCAUGAACUCUUUCCUGAUUCCUCCUCUCACUCCAUAGCUUUUAAGACUGUCUCAUCUUGAAGUGACUUUGUAUUACUUUAUUUACUUUCUGGUUAAAUGUGUCCAUUCUCUAUAA